GUGGGGAAUCUUAGACAAUGGGGGCAACCCUGAUCUAGCCAUGCCGCGUGAGUGAUGAAGGCCUUAGGGUCGUAAAGCUCUUUCGCUGGGGAAGAUAAUGACGGUACCCAGUAAAGAAACCCCGGCUAACUCCGUGCCAGCAGCCGCGGUAAUACGGAGGGGGUUAGCGUUGUUCGGAAUUACUGGGCGUAAAGCGCGCGUAGGCGGAUUGGAGAGUUGGGGGUGAAAUCCCGGGGCUCAACCCUGGAAUGGCCUUCAAAACUCCCAGUCUUGAGGUCGAGAGAGGUGAGUGGAAUUCCGAGUGUAGAGGUGAAAUUCGUAGAUAUUCGGAGGAACACCAGUGGCGAAGGCGGCUCACUGGCUCGAUACUGACGCUGAGGUGCGAAAGCGUGGGGAGCAAACAGGAUUAGAAACCCCGGUAGUCC
rnacentral:rRNA from 1 species